rnacentral:rRNA from 1 species
ACGGUUAAGUAGCAAUACUUAAUAGUGGCGGAAGGGUUAGUAAUACAUGGGUAACUUGCCUUUAACUGUGGAAUAACGGUUGGAAACGACCGCUAAUACCACACGUGGUGUAACGGGGCAUCCUAGUUACAUUAAAGUAGGGGAUCGCAAGACCUUACGGUUAAAGAGAGGCCCAUGGGAUAUCAGCUAGUUGGUGAGGUAAGAGCUCACCAAGG